CAGGAAACCACGGCUGUGCGUAUGUGAUCACCUGCCCAAGAUCACACACACUGCCAAGGUCACACGGGAACUCACCGGCUUUCCUCCCUCCAGCGGGACCUUCUCCCGCCGCCUCCUGUGCGGGCUCGAAAGCGGGAAGGAGCCACUUCCGAGAGCUGCGCUCUGAACACUGCGGUGUUUUUAAGAGACAAACAGGAGGGAAGACUCGCCUCUCCAGGAGACACUGGACACUCCCCGGCAGCUGGUAAUUGAAGCCUCUGUCGGCAGCUCAAGGCUCACUUACCCAACUUUUGGGUUCCUUCCCGUGCACUUCUAACAAGCUAUGCAAACAGGAAAGGAGGUCACGGGGAGAGGCUUCAAAUGCUGUAGCUAAACCUCCCGUGUUCACCCCUGGGCAGUCCUCUCCCCUUGGAUGCAGUAGAAGCGGAGCUCUGGUGGCUUCUGAGACUUUAUUUCGAAGAAGCCUUGCAGCUGCCACCUGAGCCUCUUGGAAUGCUUGCUGUGGAGAAGCCCAAAUGUCCCCGACAGGCCUUCUUACCAGGAUGUGCACGCUAGUCACAUGGGGAGACAGCUGGAGAGAGACAGGUGCCAGCCAGUCAGCCCUCAGCCGGCCCAGCCAUCCCUGUGGAAGCACCAGACACUCAUGUGGAGAAGCCAUCCUGGAAUCCUGGACACACAGCCCAGGUGAGCAGUGACAUGAGUCCAAGCCAAACACCAUCUGACUGCAAUUCCAUGAGAGCCCCCUAGUGAGCACCGUGACCUCUGAGAACCAGGACAGAGAGUAACAAACGAGCUGCUAAGUUCUGAGGUGGUUUCUUAUUCAACAAUGGAUCACUGAAACAUUUGCUAACCAGACUGCAAAAAGAUAUUAAAAUAGAUUUCUUGCUAUAUAAGUGACAUGAGAAAUGUCAGCCACAAAGGCUAAUAAACAAUUGUUGAACUCUUA